rnacentral:rRNA from 1 species
AAGGUGGGGAUGACGUCAAAUCAUCAUGCCCCUUAUGACCUGGGCUACACACGUGCUACAAUGGAUAGUACAAAGGGUCGCGAAGCCGCGAGGUGGAGCUAAUCCCAUAAAACUAUUCUCAGUUCGGAUUGUAGGCUGCAACUCGCCUACAUGAAGCCGGAAUCGCUAGUAAUCGUGGAUCAGCAUGCCACGGUGAAUACGUUCCCGGGCCUUGUACACACCGCCCGUCACACCACGAGAGUUUGUAACACCCGAAGUCGGUAGGGUAACCUUUAUGGAGCCAGCCGCCGAAGGUGGGACAGAUAAUUGGGGUGAAGUCGUAACAAGGUAGCCGUAUCGGAAGGUGCGGCUGGAUCACCUCCUUUCUAAGGAA